rnacentral:rRNA from 1 species
UACGUAGGGUGCGAGCGUUGUCCGGAAUUAUUGGGCGUAAAGGGCUCGUAGGUGGUUUGUCGCGUCGGGAGUGAAAACCCAGGGCUUAACUCUGGGCUUGCUUUCGAUACGGGCAGACUAGAGGUAUGCAGGGGAGAACGGAAUUCCUGGUGUAGCGGUGAAAUGCGCAGAUAUCAGGAGGAACACCGGUGGCGAAGGCGGUUCUCUGGGCAUGUCCUGACGCUGAGGAGCGAAAGCGUGGGGAGCGAACAGG